UGUGACGUUUUGUUUAUUUUCUGUAGAAAAGAGAGAGACAGCUACACAAACCUACUGAGGCUGAAGCCAGUCAACCAAGCAUAGUCUGUGAUGUUCCAUUUGUACUAAAUGAGGUCAUCUCUGAACCCCAUAAGUCAUCGAGAAAAGACCAUGGCUGCUAGCUUGGACCAAUCAAAAUCUGUACCUGGAUUAGAUGGACUGUGUGUUUUCAGCCACUUUCUGCUAGCUUGGAGCAAAUGCGUGGACAUUCUCCUUUGGAGACAGGCUAUGGAUGGAGUCAAAGAACUUAAGAUGAAGGUAUAUCUUCUAAAUAUUGUAUUUUAAUGACUAUUUAACUUUUCCAGUGAAUCAUUUUUCUGUUGGGUCUUUGUUGCUGCAAAUGAUUUAUCAUUGGGUCUUUGUUGCUGAA
rnacentral:lncRNA from 1 species